CGUGAGUAACCUGCCCUAGAGUGGGGGACAACAGUUGGAAACGACUGCUAAUACCGCAUAAGCCCACGGUACCGCAUGGUACUGAGGGAAAAGGAUUUAUUCGCUUUAGGAUGGACUCGCGUCCAAUUAGCUAGUUGGUGAGGUAACGGCCCACCAAGGCGACGAUUGGUAGCCGGACUGAGAGGUUGAACGGCCACAUUGGGACUGAGACACGGCCCAGACUCCUACGGGAGGCAGCAGUGGGGGAUAUUGCACAAUGGGGGAAACCCUGAUGCAGCGACGCCGCGUGGAGGAAGAAGGUUUUCGGAUUGUAAACUCCUGUCGUUAGGGACGAUAAUGACGGUACCUAACAAGAAAGCACCGGCUAACUACGUGCCAGCAGCCGCGGUAAAACGUAGGGUGCAAGCGUUGUCCGGAAUUACUGGGUGUAAGGGAGCGCAGGCGGGAAGACAAGUUGGAAGUGAAAACCAUGGGCUCAACCCAUGAAUUGCUUUCAAAACUGUUUUUCUUGAGUAGUGCAGAGGUAGAUGGAAUUCCCGGUGUAGCGGUGGAAUGCGUAGAUAUCGGGAGGACACCAGUGGCGAAGGCGGUC
rnacentral:rRNA from 1 species